ACGGGGUGCAGCAGGCGCGAAAACUUCACACUGCAGGAAACUGUGAUGAGGGAACUCCUAGUGCAUGCACUAUGUGUAUGUAGAUCCUACUCUUAACAAGUAGAGGGAAAGGGCUGGGAAAGACCGGUGCCAGCCGCCGCGGUAAUACCGGCAGCUCAAGUGGUCGUCGCUUUUAUUGGGCCUAAAACGUCCGUAGCCUGUUUGGUAAAUCUGUGGGUAAAUCAAUCCGCUCAACGGAUUGAAUUCUGCAGAGACUGCCAGACUAGGGACCGGGAGAGGUGUGGGGUACUCGAGGGGUAGGGGUAAAAUCCUGUCAUCCUUCGAGGACCACCAGUUGCGAAGGCGCCACACUGGAACGGAUCCGACGGUCAGGGACGAAGCCUAGGGGCACGAACCGGAUUAGAUACCCGGGUAGUCCUAGGUGUAAACGCUGUGAACUUGGUGUCGGGGGUCCGCAAGGGGUCCCCGGUGCCGGAGUGAAGAUGUUAAGUUCACUGCCUGGGGAGUACGGUCGCAAGGCUGAAACUUAA
rnacentral:rRNA from 1 species